CUGUGCUGAAAGAGAAAUUUGGAAGGAAGACCUGAGUGCAUGAAAGGAACAGAACUCCAGCUUCACUGUGAAUAUUGGAGAGACAACACUGUUCAUGCAGAGGACAUAUAAAACACAAACUAACCCAAGCUGCCCAACUCACGUCUCCGUCAGCAAGAAGUGCAGGAGGUCCUCCUUCCAGCCUGCUCCUUUCUGCAGAGCCUAUGCCAGCACCUGGUGACUACUGGAGCACAACAAGAUCAAUGUCAGGACAGCAUUAUUCACUCUAAUAUCAAUGACCUGGAAGAAGCCAUGUAAAAGGAUGGAACCUGCCAAUGGCUCAGUAUGGGAGGAGGUUUGCAAGGAGGAAAUAAAAGCAAGAGUGAAGCCACUCAGAGUGACUUGGCUUGGCACAGCAAUGGGAGCAGUUCAACACAGAGGAAGCAGAGCGCAUCUGGGGAAAAUCAAACAACAACAGCAGCAAAUAUAACACCACAGAUCCCACAAUCUUAUUUGGUUCUGCAUGAUGGACUCAGACAGAGCAGUAAUUUGAGAUACUAUAAAUGUACAUAUUGUUAAUGAAGAGUCGUAGAAUCAAAGAAUCAUAGAAUGGCCUGGUUUGAAAAGGACAACAGUGAUCAUCCACUUCCAACCCCCUGCUAUGUGAAGGGUCACCAACCAGCAGACCAGGCUGCCCAGAGCCACAUCCAGCCUGGCCUUGAAUGCCUGCAGGGAUGGGGCAUCCACAGCCUCCUUGGGCAACCUGUUCAGUGCGUCACCACCCUCUGGGUGAAAAACUUCCUCCUAAAUUCUUCCUGAAUCAAUGACUUUGGUGGGAGGUUUUCUCACAUAAAAGCUCCAGAAUUUGGUCCUAGGUUGAACCGUUUGGGCAGCACCAGAGGAACUGAGAUGAUUGUCCCACCGCUGCUGCGCCAGGCUGACUCCCAGCACCCCAGGAAAAUCUCCUUGGAAAAUCCCAGUGAUGGUUUAUCUGAAAUUAAUUUGCCCACAUUGUUAAGUCAAUUACCCAAAGGAGCAGAGACUCGAUUAAAAAUCUAUUUAGUUCAAUAGGAAACAGUAUACAAUUUUUUUCUCUCCUUGAGUGCAAAGAAUCUUGUUGUAUCCCUGUAUAGAUGAUAAAGGUAGUGCACUACCCACUCCUGCACAAGCAUGACUGAGCAGGCAGAGGUCUGUGUCACCGGCACCGGAGAGAGACGACACGAGGGAUGUGGCAGACAAGUGGGGUCUGUCCCCCGCUGGCACCUGGAUGCUGACCCAUCCCGCCAGGAGGUCGCUGCACCCGUCUCACUCAGAGAAACUCUCCUGUUGUCAAGCCUACAGCAAACUGUGUCCAGACAGAUUGGUGUUCUGCUCAAAGGAGCCCGCAUGAAUCAUGUAUUAGUUCAUUUAAAAGCACUUUGUAGACAAACAUGCUCACUCUAUCAGCAGGCACGGGGAUGCAAAUACUUCACUGGGUGUAUAUGAGCCUUGACAGGACAUCUGUGAUGCAUGGGAUUGAGAAACAGCUCGCUCCAGAAAGAUCAGGCAAUAAUGAGCAAAAAGGCUCACCGUAUUUUGUUCUUUUUAUUUUUUUCUGCAAGAUGAAAAUUUAACUUUGCCAUCGUGUUGGAAGCAGAGUAAACACUAUCAACAGAAAGCCAGCAGCAGGGAGAGGUAAAUGAUUUACAAGAUAUUCUUCAAUCAUUUAGCAGGAAGGCAGAAGGUUUUGGUUGAGGGUCCCGAAUACUCUUGCAGAAGGCAACAACCCCCCAGCAGUGUCUAUGCUGAUACAGCUGCUGUGCAGGAUCGUCCUUCAGAGGUGAGGAGGAAAUUGAACCAGUUAGACUGGGGAGAUACUAAUGGCAGCUUUGGUACUCUCGCUGCUUGGCAGAUGCUGAUUGCUCCCUGUAAAUGAAAACAAGCUAAUGAGUGUGUGCAAUAGCAAAAUAUUUGGUGGACUCUCAUUAGCAGAUAGAGUAUGUGGAAUUAAUUUCGCCGAGAUAAUUGUAGAAUAAUUUAUUUGCAUAGAAAAUCUAGUUUGUGGAAAGCAUCCUGGAAGAGAUUCAGACCUGCAUGGACUUUGUCUAUAAAUGGUUCCAAAUUAAUUUGAUUCAGAGAGAAAACACUGUAGUAUUAUAAACACUGUAAGCACGGGUGUCAAAGACACGCUUACUCAAUAUGUGACAUGAAGAACAUUACUUUCCACUUCUGCCCUGAGGUUGGUUGCUGGUGCAGAGAUGUCUUCACGAUGAUUACAGCACGAAGCCACCAGUCAUGUGCAUGUAUGUUUGCUAAUUUUUGUCCCAUUUCUUUUAAAUCACAGUCACACACGUGUGACUCUCCCACUCACAGUAAGCGACACAAACCUCUCAUCCCUCUACAUUUUGUGGAUGUUUGGUUUUGGGUUUUCAGAAAAUGCAGGAAUUCAUUUCUUCUCCUGAAAUCCUAAUUUUACCUUAGCAAUAAAACAAGUACUGGCAGUAGUAAUUCAGGCAAACAGAGUAUUGUUACUGUUCCCAGAAAGGCAAUAUAUUUGAAUAGCUCUGCAUAUUUAGCAAGGAAGAUGUGUUUUGAGCAAUUUUUAAUAAAGUAAUAUUUUAUAUUUCCCAUUUCACCCUUGCAGGAAACUGCAGAGAUCAGUUCUGGAUUGAGAUUGCGUCCCCAGCCUUGGAUCCUUUAACGUCCCAGAAGGCACACAUGAAAAAAGAAAAAUCCCCCUACUUACACUGUGAAGAGGUGCUAACAGCUUUAAAGAAUUACCCACCAAAUAUUAGGUGCAAUUUAAAACUACAUUUAAAGCAGCACGGGUAGUUUAAAAGUCUACGUGGCCGGCUAAAAGUCAGAGAGAGAAAAUUGCUUGAACACGUGUUGGAUGAAUUUCUGUCUGCGUGGGAGAUAUCGCACCAGUGGGGUAAUAUACCCUCCUUUUUCAAAAAAAAAGAGGCAGAUCCUUUAUCUGGUCUUUUGCAUGCUGUGUGAUUCCAAACCUGGGCAAAAGCCUUCAGCUCACUUCCAUUUACUACUCACAGAACACAACUCUGCUAUCUAAAAAUCGUGGAAGAUUAUUUAUAGUGAAAGACAACCUUAGGCUAAACUAUUAAGUGAGGAUAAUGGAUAUGAGCCACCUAAGGCGUGUGGAGGGCUCCUUAAUGAAUUACUGGAUAAAACAAAGUCAGAUGCGCUCAGGUAGCGUCCAGUUCAAGCAGUGUGCUGUUAGAGGGCCAAGGAAGGCUCACCUCAUGUCAAGACCUGGAAACUGCACCACAGAGUGUUCCAGGCAUUGCCCUACACCCACUUCGAGGUCUCUUCAAGGGCUGCUCAGAUCAUCCUCUACAAUAUUUACUCAGCUUAUUGUAUGCUGUAUCAAUUUAAAGGUGCGCUGUAACUUAUUAGAUAGUUAUUAGCUUCCAUUUUUAGCCCUGAUCUAUUUCAUAGACCCUGAUGCCCCCUAUUUUAUGUAAGAAAGGACGUUUUAAUAGAUAUAAUCUAAAUUAGUUGGUAACUCGAUAACUUGUUCCAGUCUGCUUCUCUAAUGAAACCUGCAUUAAUGACCGCCUUCAGUAGGCAAUCUCGAACUUUAAGAAGGCACUUUAAAAUAUUCAUAACAUUUCUGGUGCAGUGUUGUUUGAACUGUAUUUAACAGACAUCUCAAAUGGGCGUUCUGGUGCUUUGCAGGAGUCAUUGUCAAUAAUGACUUUUGCAGCCCUGUCUUUGGGGCCAGGGCAGUAAUUUUGGUCGUGGCCAUGGGGCCAAGUCCCCAUGUGUCCCGUGUACUGGGCCAGAUGUGAGGAAAAAAGCAACAAAUUAAGUAAUAGUCCACACUGUAAUUGGGAAUAAACUUCCUGGAGGAUUAGUCAAGGCACAAAUUUCUGAAAGACUUUAAAAAAAUAACUGACAGAAGGUUUACUUGUAACCUAAAAUCUUUCAAAAAGGGAAAAGAGUCAAACUGCAAUAAUUAAUAUUAAAUACUUAGUGUGCAAUUAAUGGUAAUUAUAUAUAUAAAAAAAGCAACCAAUUAAAUGCUGCAACAUAAUGCACCCGAAAUCUUGUAAACGAGUGGCAUUUGUAGCAAAUGCUAAGAGCUCCUUUAAGCCAGUCACUUCUUAAAGGCUUUUGCUUUGGGAAUAAGUGUUACCUUAAUACAUUUACUUAGAUACGAUGAAAGUCAGACUUAACCUUUGCACAGUUGAAAUAACUUUAGCAACAAAACAAUGGAGUAAAUGUGAACCUCUUCUGCAAAUGCAAAUGGUAAUGCAAUCAGUGCUCAGUAAAUAAAUAUAAACACGUUUGAGCCAUAAACUGACCAGUAGCUGUUAUAGGGGUUGUCCUGAUCCCUGCUGAGCAGAGGUGGCAUCCAUAACCAGGUGCUCCUGGGACACUGAAAUGCUAUUCUGCAUCGCCUCUUCUAUCAGCUAUUACAAAAUAAAUCCAAGUCUAACUCAGUGAGAAUUCCCAAGGAGAAGAGAGUGCUAAAUGGGUUUUAAACAGUCCAAACCCCAGUGCAUGAGCAGAAUUUGGGCCAAAAGUCCUGCCAGGGGCCAGUCAGCAGGAGCCCGCUGCCAAGUGCUGAUCCUUAGAUCAACACCUCAUCCGUAAGAGGAGCCCAGUCUGGAAAUCAAAGGAAGCCCACCAGAAAAAAAAAAAAAUGUAAAAAAAAAAAAGCCAUAAAUCUGUGUUGGCUCCCAGCCCAGUGUGAUCUUACAGUAUGUUUUUGCUGAUGCUGCUUCUGGGAUGGGACAAAGGAAAUGGAUGACACGGAGAUGUCGGUGGCAGGAAGACCACCAGAUUGCCCGUAAAGAAGCAGCAGGCAGCGGGUGUAUGUGACAGGGCUGUCAUGGGGCUACAAGUUCAUCCCUCCAACUAUUUUUCUGCCUUGUGAGGUUUGCAGCAGCUCAGCUGCAACAUCUAAAGUGUGCUGGGAAGGGCUCUGUUGGAGAGGUGCAGUGCUGUGUGCUGGCAACGAGUGGAAGAGCAGCAGGGCUCACUUCAACGAUGGUUCUGUGAAAGCAGAAAGCAUCCCAACAAGUGGAAGGGACCUGAGGUUCUGCCACUGCAAAAUCAACAUCAGAUUCUGCUGAAAUUCCCUUGGGCAGUUACGGAGUGGGUAUUUCUCUGAGAGAUGUCCAAAUUGGAUGCACAGCACACCCAAAAACCAGGACUACAUCCCCCAAAAAUAUGGACCAGUGUUACGUCUCCGCUCCUCUUGUAAGCAGCUCCUCUGCAAACACAUCUGAACUAUUUCACUUACAGGCUUUGGUUUUAGCAAUUCCUUACUUAGUAUUUCUAAGGACUCAUCUGUAGGAUAUUAUAUAAACAUAAAUAUAUAUAAAAUAACAGAUAAUUACAGUAAGUUACAAAUGUGCGUUCUUCAUCAGCAGUACCAGUGAAGGAGGACACAGUUAACCAGUCAAAAAGGGUGACCAAAUCUUGUUUCUUUUCUUAAAGAAAGAGAUCAACCAAACCUGUUAAUCCAUUUGUUGCUUUCUGCUCUUCUUUUUGCGUAGUUGCUUUCAUUUUUUAUUUGCUUUCAUAUGCACAAGAGAAUGAAAAUCUGUUUGCGGCUGGAACUUCUACAGCACAUCACGUAUUUUCUUUCUUUUUUCUUAUUAUUUUUUGUCUCCCAUAAUUAUUUUUCCAGAGAGCUGCUUUUCCAAUCAGGUCACCAACUCUGAAAAACAAAACUUCAAGGCAACGUUUUGAAAAAUUGGACCUCACUUUUCUUUCAGUAGAAAGAUUCACAUCAUUCGUGUGCAAGCCAAGGCUCAAAAAUAACAUAAAUCCUUUCAGUGCCGUCUCUCUCUUUGCCUGUGUAACAGAUAUCUCUGCUAACAUUUACUUUUGUAAUUUUUCACAUUGUUCUAGCUCUCAGAGGUUAAUAUUUACCAUUCAUUUUGGUAUUCACAAGCUACAGAGGUAAGCUUGCAAAUAUCUGCCUUGGGAAAAUGAGCAGUUCUGCCAGAAAAUAUGUUCAGGUUUCUUGGUGGAACUGUGGGAGACAACACUCCAUUGACAGCAUUUCACUGCAUUCAUCUGUUCGUGCUUUAAACAUCUGCGCCAUCAAUUCGUACAGUACAACAAUUGGUAUUUUGAAGGGAUAACCAGAUAAUUACAGCAAAUGUUUAUUAGUCUCUUUGAACGGCGAGCAUGCAUUGGGAAAAAAAAGUAAGCAAGCUUAUGAAAGAAUACAGGGAACACAGACAUGUUUGGGAAGUCACUGCUAUUAUAUCCUUACACCAACCAGGCAGUCGUUCUGUGGUUGGCAUCUGCACACACAGACAGUGCCGUGUGCUAGCAAAAUUCAUCAUAAGACAGAGCUGCCUGCACAAGCUGACCCACUGCUUGCAAUAAUAUCAAAUCCUAAAUGAAUUAAUUUGCUUGCUGACCAAGUAGUUUGCCAUAUUAAAGUGCAAGUUUGCAAGACAUGUAUUCUAUUAUCCCAGAUUGCACUCCUGACACUUUACAUUAUGAACAUUUAGUGUUCUUCCUUUGAUAUUUUGAACACUGACUACAAUGAAGCUGUCAGCACAAAGGAAUUUUUUAUUCAAUUUUCAGAUGUAACAAGCAAGGAUCUUACAGGAACUUCAUUAAGACUAUGGAAACAAUAGGGAUUCAAUUAUCUAGCUAUGGAAGACAGAAGAGUAUCUUGCGAUGGGCACAGUAAUCAGAGAUACGAAACAGUUUGUGGGGAGAGGAGAGGAGCAAUUUUACUUGGUUUCUAACAUGUGGAAAACAGUAUUUACUCCAAAUGCUCAUUUAGUCCAAGUGCUCAUAGUGACUAAGAGAGUGAUGAUUUACUCGGAGGCUGCACUAAGCUUGUACUGCUCUUGUCACCAUGAUCUAACGCUGGUAGUACAUUGUGAGCAAGCAGAGAUCAUUGAUUAACACUGCCAGACAGCUGCGUUGGAAUCAUCAAGUCAAUACUCUGUGCUCUUGGUCAAAAAAAAAAAAAAAAAGAAGAAGAAGAAGAAAGAAAAACUCCAACACAAAAAUAAUAACGAAAGAAGAGAUUGCUGCAUUUUUAUCAGCACGAGCUAUGUAAUCUAGAUUUAGUCAUCCACAGGGAGGGCAAAACUCCCACAGGGAGAGCAAAUUUGUUUUGUCACAUCUUUGCAUGUAGCUAAAAUUCGAGCACUAGUACUAAUUCCCCUAAAGCAGGCUGCAGCCCACCCAGCCUCCUGAGGCAAGAGGAGACCAGAUAUGAAUGCAUAUAUGUAUAUAUAUUUACAGACCACAUGAAACUAAAUUUAAUAAACAUUCCAGGAAGGAACGGACUUGGCAGAAUAGCCAGACAAUGAAAUAAAGUUUUUUUACUGCAUGGUUGUGUUUUAAGACCUUGCAGAAAAUGAACUCCUCAGCGAUUGCAUUCUGAUGGCUCUGGGAAUGCUUUUCAGUGUGCCAUAUUGUAUCACUUUCCACUGGACAGUGAUUGUUUUAAAGCCACAACAUAAGACACAAAUAUUUGAUUAAAAUGAAUUCCACCCUAAAAGUCUGGGUGUUCUUUUUUUAGGGAUUCAGAUGCAAAAAAUGAGCUGACUGUGGUCUGCUGAGGUCCCAGCAGUAUUGUCUGAUGCAAAAGUUCAGCUGUACAGGGAUUCAUUUGGAGUACUCACCGCCACUGAAAAUAGUAAUAAACAGUGUUUUGCAAUGGUCUUUGCAUUUCUUUAUCUGUCCUUAUUGUGUCUGAGAUGCAGAGAUGAGAACACUGCUUUAUCUCAUCUGCUUCAUCAGAGCUGCAAUUGGAGCAUAUACAAGCAAUAGUGUUUUAAAGUGCCACUAGAAUUGUAGCUCUAUCCAGGUUACACGAUAAAAUAACAAAUGAGAGAAAGAAUACUGGAGGUCGUGGAAAUACGGACCUAUAAAGAUACACCUCGGAUUCCCAUGCAUACUCAAGUAACAAGGUAGGACUGCAGGGAACAAGUUGAUGGCUUUCUCCGUGCAGCACUGCAGACAAUGAUGCUUUUUCACUCAAAUUCAUUUGCUUAUGGGGAACCAGGGAAAUUUUGACGAGAACUGGCCAAAGCUUAAUCUUUUCAGUCUAUAAAAAAUUUAAACAGUUUGCUCCCAUUUCAUAAAUGUUGACAUUUCCCACAGAGGGAGAAAAUAUCAUAUCAGAAUGUUUCCUUAAAAAGAAAUAGGAAAGGGCCCUGCGAUGGGUCUGCGAAGCUUGUUGAAUACCCAAUCUGCCAGGAGCCAACAGCAUGGGGUCUGCUUGACCAGCGGCUGGAGCACUCCUGGGAGCUGAGGCCUCACUUCAAAAGGGUUCAGCACAGCUCACAGCAGCCCCACACUGGCAGAGGAAGAGCUGGGUGAUGUGGAGGGGCCUCUAAAAGCUGUAACCCCUGGGCUCGGUCUCUCUGGCAAACUAUGAGGUAAGCAAGCUGCUGACUUAAGUACAAAGUGAUCUUCUCUCUGGGCAUCAAUGGGUGCUUCUGCAAAGUGUUUCAGCUUCAAGGAGUCUUUAUGGAUAAAAUAAAUAUAAAAAUAAAAUAAAAAAAAGCAAAGCAUUUCUCCUUGCCGUUUCAUUAGAGGCUGCUAAAACCCACAAGCACCACGUCAAGAAGCAGAGCUGUGGGAGGUGCCAUGCCUGCCUUUACACUGGGAUUGAUCUCACGUACAGCUGGGAUUAGCAGUGGGCUGAGUCAUAUUCCAGUCAUUUCCUUCCAGAGAAAAGGGAAUAAAGAACGGGCCUGACACUGAGUUGUGGUACUCCUACCCCAUGUUUUUGAUUGCGUGUGAGGUCCUGGUGCUUCUACAUGGCCAAGGUCAAAGGGAAAGCCCACAAAGCUCCACUGGGUUGCAGAAGUGACCUCUGUGGAGUUGAGGUCUGGAUGUCUAAAUAGGAUGGGAUUAGCUAUUCCACAGCACACCUGAUGUAAUGCAGCUGAGCAGGAGAACCAGAACAGUAGCUUUUUCUUCUGCCAUUUAACAUACCUCAUAACCCUGAGGACAUUGUCUUAACCAAAGGCUUGAACUCUGGAUGAAUUGUAAUUCUCACAGCAUCGAAACCCAGGAGAGUGCAAUGCUUGCCAGAAAGAUCCUGAAGGGGAGAAGAAAAAAAAAAAAAUGAACAAACUUGAUAAUUAUGGUUAAAAAAAAGAGAGAGAGAGAGAGAGAAUAUGCACAUCCAUAGUUUUGCUAAGUUUGGGGUUGACGAGAAGAAUCAAAGUGGUAGCCUGGAGAGAAAAUCUGUAUUUGAGGUGUGAGGUUAACUGACAAAAAAAAUCAAACUUAAGACUGAAGUGCAUAACUUAAAGAACAACUAAAACCUACAAGGAACCUUUCAAGAAAAAAAGCAUCAGAUUACAUUUUAUGACCAAGAGGCAAAGCUAAGAAAAAUAUUUCAAACAGAAGAGCUGUUAUUUUUGUAGCUUUGAAACAAUACGUAACUAGCACAGAAGAUAAUACGAUACAAGACAGGUAAUCCAAUCAUUUAAGAGUUUACGGCUGCAGUCUUCUCCACAAGAGAGAUUCGACUGUGCUUCGUCUCUUUCCAUAAAUGAAUAAAUUCGGGAAAUCGUAAGCACGGGUAUUCGGAUUUGUUUUCUCUUUCGAGGCUUGAAAAAAUCAGAGCCAGUGGCCUUGAGUGCUGCAGGAGACCUUCCACAGUGAGCCUGUAUUGCAUCCACACACAAAGCAAAAUUAAUCCGAACGGCACUGCUCCCCCAGCACGCUUUCUUUAAUAAUUUGAUUUCAUCAUCAAGUUUAAUUGCAGAUUUCAAAGUUCUUUACCUGCGCAAUCCUGAGCUGAUACCGGAGCCUUCAACACACCCAGCUGAAUCGUUCCUGGUUCCCAAUGUAACUUUGCUCUUAUGCUGUGAGUCCCUGCAUUGGGUCCAGGUGCCCAUAAUGGAAGCCUCCGGGUGGGAUUAUCUUCCCAGGGCCACCUGGGGAGGAACCCCUCCUGGUACACAAAGGGUUCACACCGACCAGGGGAAAAGGAGAGUCAAAUUGCUCUCUUAUCUUUUGGAGUGAUUCUUUCAGCCAUUUGGCUUAAAAACAAUUGCUUUGUGUUGGAAAUGUUCUACUUUUCAGAAAACAGUGACAUCGUUGCAGCUAAGAAUACAUGGCUAUAAGCAAUUAGUGCGUUUCUUUGGGAGAAAGGAGAGCUUUACCAAGUUGGAGGGCUAACUUGUUUCUUUUAGAUCUACCAGCCAUUGAGGGAAACGCAGACAAGUUGCAAGUGCGGAGACCAAAAUUUGUGCUGUGAUCAUUUAGGAAAGAACACAGAACUGCAACAGUUUCCUCAGCCUUCUAUCCCUCUGCCUGGGGGAGACGGCAAGUAAACAGCUACCUUAGACAAAGGACUGAGGCUGUGAGCCACAGAGGAAGGCUGGGGGAGGUGUGGGAUUUGGGUGCUGUAGCAUCCGCAUAUCCCAUUGAUUAGUUUGGGCACUCAGGACCUUUGCUGUCACAGGUAAGUAGGGCUUUCCAAGAUGCUAAACACUCCCCAGGCGCUGCAGAGGCAGCCCAGGCAUCUAAAUUAGAGCUGUGUGCUCUUCUCCUGGGAGGUGGGGUGCGGCAGUUGUGUGCCACUGAGCGCGGUGCAGGAAAGUCCCUUCGUGCAUCAGUGCAAUUGAUGGAGCUCAGGUUGGGAAUACGAUUUUGAAGGCCACCUCCCAGGUGUCCCCGACUGAGCUGGCAUCACACAGCCAGCACGGAGCACACAGACUGCAUCUUUUUGGGUGAAGCUAAACCAGAAGAAGUGUUCCAGGCUGUCGUGGGUUUGCAGUUUGCAGGACUGGGCUCGCUGUCAUCGUGAUCACCUUGGAAAGGCUUUUGUUGAGAACAUCUGGUACUCAGUACCAACAGCUUCACUGAACCGAUCUGCUCCAAUGAGUCAUUGCCAUUGGCAGUGCAGCCUUUGUGAAGCAGCUUUACUAACCAAAGAUGUUUGAUAACACCACUCCUUGCUCUUCUAGAGAAGAUAUUCUUCUCUGUUCAGGCAUCGGAGCAGAGGGCAGAAGUUGAGGGCUGUCACUGCACUGCAUCACUCCUUACACCCAAAGAUUUCCAGAGGCCUGUAAACCACAGCCUGGAACAUGCACAGACAUUGCCCAUGUUUUAAGCAGGAGUAACAAAAGUUCAGUACAAUGUCAGAAACAAAAUGGGAACAGACACCUAACUCAGCUUUCACCCAGCAGCUACUAUUAAUUAAACAAAUCUGAUGUCUGAUUAACCUCACAUAAAAUUCUGUGAAUGACAUGAGUUCUCCUCCAUAUGUGGCGCUGGAAAUCUCCCACCAUUUCUAGAAUAAUUCAGCAGUGGGGAUACGAGCAGAGCAGGAAGACCAAACGGCAGUAAAAGAGCAGGAGGAAAUUGGCUGCUGCUUUACCAAUUUCCUGUUGGGGCUCUUCAGGCUGUAUUGCUCAGGACAACCAUUACAAAGGGGUUUGCAGCUCUGGAAAGCUUUUAUUGACCUCUCUGUAAAUACAAAAUGGCCCGUGAAUUAAACGGGAGGGUCACUCUGAGGAAGUUCAACAGACUUGGCAGAUUCUUGGGAAUAAGCAAGAGCAGGGAUCAAGAGGACUGAUUGAAAAAGUGCAGUUAUUGUGCAGAAGAUUCCUUUUCUUGGGAGCAAGCUGCACAGGGUGUUCUAGGCCAGGAUUUACAAGCCCAAUGAAGGGUGUUGGUUUUUCCCCUUCCAUGCCAAAAAUGUCGGAUAAAGACAAACUAGAUUUACAAGCAACUGUCUGGAUGCUGACAAGACAUUUGCAAAUGUCACCCAUGCAAUCCCCUUUUCUACCCACGUGUGCACGCACCUUCCCACAAGUCACAACCCUGCUCAUGAAAUGGGACCUGGGCAUUGGCAGAGCUCAGCUCACCUGACCAUGCAGCUUUCCCCAGCUUUGCAAGCUACUCCUCUAAUUACAUCAAAAAUUGACCAAAAAGAGCUUUGUGAAAACACUUGGUUUAUCUCUCUCUCCUCUUUCUGUUUUCUUCCUUUUUGUUAGCACUGCACAAUCAAUAUUUUCUUUCCGCUUCUUUUUGCAAGGACUCAGAACAAGUUGCAACCAUUACCUUUACAUGAAUUCCCUUGUUAGUACUGGAAACUGUUUCAUCCAAGUGAGCACUGUGUGUCUUUGUUUGAAAUUAGCUUCUUCAAUUAGUUAAAAAAGCAGAAGAGAUAAGGAUUCUCCUGCACAUCUGCAUGCUAACAUUUUUAUUUGUCCUUUGCUCACAUUUGUUUUAAUCAGCGAUGACUGAAAAUCCAAGGAGUUUUGCAGGAGAUCCACAGAUUCUUGAUUUGGAUCAUGAUGUCCUUGAUAAAAGCCUAUAUCAAAUAAAAGGAGUUCUUGCUACUUAAUGUUCCCAGUAAAUUAGUGCUGUGGAUAUUAGAGAGAAGCCUGACCAUGAAAGUUUUGAAAAGAUAUCUAUGUUUCAUCUUGAGAGUAUUAAAAAUAUUUUAAGGCAAGAAGUUACAAUUACCUUGGAAAUUUAAUACAUUCAUUUCACCUAGAGACUCCAUUUCAGAGCAGCGCAAAUCUCCCUAACCUCUUCUGUUAGCACUCUAGUUUUUAAGCAGGAAACCCACUUUAGGAUGUGCUGACAGAGUCAGCUUUUCUGUAACAAGCUCCAAAGGAAAACACAAUUAUUACAGUGUGCUCAUUGAUCACGUUUCAUUUUGAGGGAGAAGUCUCUGACAAGGACAGUGUGACUGAAAUCUGUAGAAGCAUGGAUGGGUGCUGCCUCCAAAGCCCAUUGGGGCUGCCUGCGCCCCACAUCCCUGCUGCAUCCCCCCUGGUUCGACCACCUUGCUGCUAUCCCCAACUCACAGCCACAGUGGACAUAGCCUUCAGUGUGGGAUGGAGCUACCUCAUUGGGGUUUGCAAAAACAGUUUAGUGCCUGUAAAAUUUCAGCUUAACCACCUCUUGGUGCUAAGCCUCGAAAAUAUUACCUGACAAAUAAUAAAAAAGGCCAUGUUAGUUUAGUUACCUCCUCUUACAAGCACUGAUUUCAAAAAGCCACCUGUCCUUGGGUGCUGCUCCCCAUCUUCUGUGCCCAUCUGCACCAGGACCCCGUGGAAGGUACUGACUGAAUGCUGUCCGGAAGCAAACUAUGUUUGUCACAGCAAGCUUUCUCAGGAGCUUUCCUGCAGAAAUCCAGCACCUGACAAGCUGACGAAGCCAAGAGGCAUUUGGAAUUGUGAAGUGUGAAUGAAAGUUUCUUAGGUCUUGCUGUGCCUGAACUCAAGGCAUGAAGGAAAGCAAAGGCCUGGGAAGAAAAUAAGAAGGUGCGCUUGUGUGAACCACAAUAUGUGCUUCCUAAUUUUACACCUACUGCUACAGUAUCCUGUGUAAGAAAGUAAAAUCCCUCGGGGAGGUAUCAGAAGUAGAUUAACCUUAAACCUGAUCAGUAGUUGGUUAUAGGACAACUGGGCAGCAAUGGGAUUGCUCCACAGUGAGUAACUCCCAGACUGGGGACAUCAUCAUGUUCCAGGUCUUACUGGCAAUUGCCUCCAUGCCAUACACACAAAGCCUGUAAAAUUGUGUGCCAGCACAGGAUCAAUAAAUUCCAUUCAGCCUGAGAAAUCUUCCAAAAUCAGAAAACCGAUGAGCUCUUCUUUGACUGGUGAUUGCCAAACAUUAAUGACCUGGAAAGGCUGACCAGCAGGCUGAGCAAUGAGCGUGUGCGUGAGCUGUGCGUGUGCGUGGAGAAGAGAGAACAUCUUCAAAGGUGGGAGCCUCACCUGCGGGUCUCCCGAGCCCUCUCAGGUAUGAAAUGGAAGGCUUAGUCGAUUUGUAAAAAUGGGGAAAUGGACAGGCUUCACAGAACCAGAAAUUGAUAAAAUGUAAAAAUCUAUGUUUAUUUUAAUUUCCUGUGGCAACCUGGAAGUUGGAGAAGAUCCUGCCAGUUUUCAGUCUUGAAGGUGCGUAUACAAAAUCAUGGAUGCAAUAGUAAAAUGAUUACAUUAAAUCAGUAAUAAAUUUAGAAGUGUGCACUCCCAUAUUUCACACUAAUUUCUGUGUCAUCCAAAAAAAAAACAAAAACAAAAACAAAAAAAACCCCACAAAACAGCCAAAAAAAAAGAAACAAACAAACAAAAAAAACCCUAAUAUAGUGGAAAGAGAGAAUUGCCCCAAACCUCUGAGAAAGAAGGAGAAUAUGAAGACUGGAUGCAAAAAGUUGUUCUCGGAAUGCCUUCAGGCCUGAUUUUUAUUUGUUUUGUUUUGCCAGUCAUGAGCAAUUUCCCUGCUCGAUAGUCAUGCUGUAUCCCUAUUUAAGCCCCUCUGUUGGCAUAAUGAUUGCUUAAAUACCUAAAAAUAUGCUGAUCUCUAGUGGCACAUGAGGGGCAAAAGAAAGAAAAGCAAAGCAAAACAAUGCAAAAUAAUUUUGGGAAAGCAUUUCAAAGCUAUCUGUAAAUGAUUUCCGUUUAUUUUUCUUAGGAAGAGAACGUUCUGCGGAAGAAAGCUUUUAAUCCUUACCAACGUGAUCAAGUUUAUAUCAAAUAAUUAUUUUUUUUUUUACAGAAAAACAGAUACUUACAGUCCCCUUCUUUCACUCAAGCAAUGCUGGAGACGUUACUGCAAGAAGAAAACCCUUUGCAGUGUCUGCUUUCUCCUUCCUCUUAACCUUUCUCUAUAAAUGCAGAGCUAUAUAUAUGUUUUCCCUUACCUUUUUUUCCCUCCAGAACAAAUUCAGGCUGCCUACACAAUAAGCCCAGCAGUGAGCUGAGAUGCAUUUUGCCUUCCCAAGCUGCUCCAAGCAGAGCGCACAUUCCCGCUGGGUGCACUCAUGGCACAACGUCCCCAAGCCGACGCGGCACUGCCAGCCCUCCCAGCCCUCCCAGGGCUCAGCUCCUGCUGAAUGCAAUGCCUCUGAGCAGCUUCUCCUCCCUUUGCUCACCCCCGAACUUUUCUACCUAAAACAGCAUAAAUAUUAUUGCCAAAUGCUAGGAGACCGCAAAAGGAAAGGCAGGGCGAUGUCGGGUUAUAAUGUCUGUUCUUCAGCUCCCUCCUCCGGCUUCUGUCUCCUGAUUUAAUAGAAGAAAAAGAAUUUAGAAACGUGGAAAAUCUCUUCUCCGGUGCCUAGCACCAAAAUUUAGUCUAUUCUUCCUCCCUCACGCAUAUGCAGUUUCCCCACAGGCAUAGCAUGGAAGGGCUCUUCCUAAAUAAUACUCAAAAAGGGUCACAUCAGAAGGCAUGAGAUUAGCUCAGUGCACCUAAACCUUUUGCAGGAAUAAAGAUAUUUCUCAUUCAUCUCUUCUCCAGACACCCAGUCAAUAAUUUAGAGAAAAAUUCCUCAAUUACUCCAUUCACUUAAAAGAUAUCAAUAUCAUACUUGGGAGAAAAUCCUGUAAAAUUCAGUGCAGUCAAGUGCUGACUUUAAUGUUGCCUCUUCAGAGGAUGUGGAGCUGAGGCUUGCAUGAGAUUCCCUUGCCUGCAAAACACAGAGGAAAAGAACAGACAGCACUGGGAGAUCCCCUGGCCCUCCAGGAAAAGAGGCAGAAAUGAAAAGACUAGGCUUCUAC
rnacentral:lncRNA from 1 species